rnacentral:lncRNA from 1 species
UGUCACAAAACAAAAAAAAUAUUGAUCAAAUCAAACCAUGGAGUUGUUGAAUCAAUCUGGAAAACAACCAAACAACACAAACACUGUCAUUGUUACUGUCCCAAAAAAUACAAGCUCCAUAUCUAAAGCCUCAAUCUCCAACUAAAUCCAUGAAGCACAUCAAAUCUACAAAUUGAAGGCAGAAAAACAAAACACACACUUCAUCAUCCAUAAUCUCUACAAAUCCCACCAUCACCUUCAAUCUUCAUCAAUCAAAAAUCAUCAACCACCACCAUCUAAAAAUCAAAAUAACAAACCCGCAACAAAAAAACAAAAAAAGAAACAAAAAGAAGAAAGAAAAUCGGUCAAAAUCACCAUAAGACUUGAGUGCUUCAACAUCAAAUGUUCGUAUGUUGUGAGAGAGAUUCAUGCCCUGCAGCCAAUUCCCUAUGUAAUUUUUCUUCUCUAUUGUCUUGUUGUUGUUGAUUGUCCAAUUUUGUUUUCAAAACACCGAACUAUCUAGUAAAACGAUUGUCGGUGGCUAUGAUGCCUGUUCACAACACCCAAUUGUUCAGUCAAAUGGGCGUUGGUGGAUGUGAUGACUUCAUGUGUGCCGCUUGAAUGGACUCAUCAAGGUCUUUGUUGACAGGGUUUUAAGGUUUAUGGGCCAUUGAGUCAAGUGGGUUAUGCUAGAAAACUAAAGGCAAGAAAGAAAAUAAAAUUGCAACUUCAUUUCUAACCUCUAAGAGCCCGUUUGGUGCACAGG